rnacentral:tRNA from 1 species
GCCUGGGUGGCUCAGUCGGUUAAGCAUCUGACUUCGGCUCAGGUCAUGAUCUCACGGUUUGUGAGUUUGAGUCCCAUGUCAGGUU